GCGGACGGGUGAGUAACGCGUGGGUAACCUGCCCUGUACACACGGAUAACAUACCGAAAGGUAUGCUAAUACGGGAUAACAUAAGAAAUUCGCAUGUCUUUCUUAUCAAAGCUCCGGCGGUACAGGAUGGACCCGCGUCUGAUUAGCUAGUUGGUGAGGUAACGGCUCACCAAGGCGACGAUCAGUAGCCGACCUGAGAGGGUGAUCGGCCACAUUGGAACUGAGACACGGCCCAAACUCCUACGGGAGGCAGCAUG
rnacentral:rRNA from 1 species